rnacentral:rRNA from 1 species
GACGAACGCUGGCGGCGUGCUUAACACAUGCCAGUCGAACGGAGAGGCCCUUCGGGGUACUCGAGUGGCGAACGGGUGAGUAACACGUGGGUGAUCUGCCCUGCACUUUGGGAUAAGCCUGGGAAACUGGGUCUAAUACCGAAUAGGACCACGCGCUUCAUGGUGUGUGGUGGAAAGCUUUUGCGGUGUGGGAUGGGCCCGCGGCCUAUCAGCUUGUUGGUGGGGUAAUGGCCUACCAAGGCGACGACGGGUAGCCGGCCUGAGAGGGUGACCGGCCACACUGGGACUGAGAUACGGCCCAGACUCCUACGGGAGGCAGCAGUGGGGAAUAUUGCACAAUGGGCGCAAGCCUGAUGCAGCGACGCCGCGUGAGGGAUGACGGCCUUCGGGUUGUAAACCUCUUUCAAUAGGGACGAAGCGCAAGUGACGGUACCUAUAGAAGAAGCACCGGCCAACUACGUG